rnacentral:lncRNA from 1 species
CGGACUUAGCUCGUGCAUAUCUUGACAAGGCCUCCAAGAAAAUGAAGAAAUGGGCCGACAAGGAAGAGGAGGCACUUGGAGUUCAACGUGGGGGACUUGGUCAUGCUAAAACUCAACGCCGAGCAACAAAAGAGGCUACGCAGAUUGCACAAGGGACUAAUUCGGCGCUACGAGGGACCACUCCCCGUCCUUGCCAAGGUGGGCAAG